UUUUUGCCAAUGAUGGUAUUAAAUAUACUUUGAGAGAGGUUUUCUCUUUGAAAAAUAUCAAAUCUGAGGCAUAAA
rnacentral:snoRNA from 1 species